AACCACACUAUCAAUGAAUGGAUUCACCCGUGAUAUGACGUGGCUGUUCCACUUAGGACAAGGACGUGGCACCCUAUUACAAGCCAUCGCACGAAAUUAAUAGGAUGCCACGUCCUCAUCGUAGGUGAAACAACCACGUCAUCUCACAAGUGAAUCCAUUCAUUGAUAGUGUGGUU
rfam:Oryza glumipatula chromosome 3, whole genome shotgun sequence.